rnacentral:rRNA from 1 species
UAUCUCUGUAGAGUCUGCAUAUCAAUAAGCGGAGGAAAAGAAACUAACUAGGAUUCCCUCAGUAACGGCGAGUGAAGCGGGAAGAGCUCAAAUUUGAAAUCUUCAAGGUUUUACCUUGACGAAUUGUAGUUUAAAGAAGUGUUUUCUGUUGGAGUUUUGGUAAAAGUUCUUUGGAAUAGGACAUCAUAGAGGGUGAGAAUCCCGUAUUUGACCAUUAUUUCCAGCUUUGUGAUACACUUUCAAAGAGUCGGAUUGUUUGGGAAUGCAGUCCAAAAUGGGUGGUAAAUUUCAUCUAAAGCUAAAUACUGGCGAGAGACCGAUAGCGAACAAGUACCGUGAGGGAAAGAUGAAAAGAACUUUGAAAAGAGAGUUAAACAGUACGUGAAAUUGUCAAAAGGGAAGCGUUUGACACCAGUGUUGUUUUCUCGAAAAUCAAUUAAAAAUGGCGGGAUUUUGUGUUGUAUUGACUUUAUCAGCUUUCUGCACUCUUUUCCUGUCUUUUUUAAUGCACUUUUCGUUUAACAAGUCAACAUCAAUUUCUUUUGUUGUAAAAGAGUCAUUGGAAGGUGGCUUUCUUUUCGGAGAAAGUGUUUAUAGCCUUUGGCUUCUGCAAUCGGAGAGAUUGAGGUCUGCAGCGUAGAUCCUUCGGGGUUAGAUACAUUAGAUGCUAAGUUAUAGCCUUUCAUAGACAACUUGUUGACUAUGAUCAGUCAUGUAGCUUACUCGCUUAUGCUAUUUUACCUACGCUUAGGAUGUUGAGUCAUCACACAUCUCU